AGGCCUAACACAUGCAAGUCGAGCGGUAACACAAGGGAGCUUGCUCCUGAGGUGACGAGCGGCGGACGGGUGAGUAAUGCCUAGGUAUCUGCCCAGUCGAGGGGGAUAACAGUUGGAAACGACUGCUAAUACCGCAUACGCCCUACGGGGGAAAGGAGGGGACCUUCGGGCCUUUCGCGAUUGGAUGAACCUAGGUGGGAUUAGCUAGUAGGUGGGGUAAUGGCUCACCUAGGCGACGAUCCCUAGCUGGUCUGAGAGGAUGAUCAGCCACACUGGAACUGAGACACGGUCCAGACUCCUACGGGAGGCAGCAGUGGGGAAUAUUGCACAAUGGGCGAAAGCCUGAUGCAGCCAUGCCGCGUGUAUGAAGAAGGCCUUCGGGUUGUAAAGUACUUUCAGCGAGGAGGAAAGCUCAAUUGUUAAUAGCGAUUGGGUGUGACGUUACUCGCAGAA
rnacentral:rRNA from 1 species